ACAAAAAAGAAAAUUAUAUAAGUGUUUUUUUUUCCUUUGCUAAAGUCCUAAUUAUUUCAGCUUUCGAGGCUAAUAAUUAUGUACUGAUUAAUCCAACAAGAUCGAGUCUUUUUUUUAUCUUUCUUAAUUAGCAUUCCAUUUCAAACAAAGAUUCAUUUUUGCGAUUAAUAUUGCAAUCUCUCAUAAUUAUUCUUUAAUCACGUUUCUCAAUCGUCUUUGGAUAACCUUCUUUUCCGAGACUGUGCUCACUUGUUUCGCCUGCCAUCUGUCGUCUCAAUACAUUUGUCAACGUUCCAAUGUUUCUAAUGUCAACAAACGCCUCGUCUAGAACGAAAGGAAAAUAAAAAUGGCAUUAUAUCUUUUUCUUUUUCCUCUCCAGGGAGUUCCGUUCGCAACAAGUGAUUGUUAACACGUUCGCGGUCAUGUAGGUCAGGAUAAUUGUUGCACAGAAGUUCACGAACCAUUCCGCCCAUCUAUAAAAAAUAACUCGAAAGUUUUCGUAAUAAUUGUGAGAAGGAUCGGAAUAAUUACGUCAACGCGUCUUUAUUUUCUUCGAUUCGUAUCCAUUUCGAGGACGUUUUUUUUCCCCCCCUCCUUACAUCGCAUCCACGUAGAGAAACACGAUCGUUUCUCUCUAUAACCAGACUAAAGAAAAGCGACAACUGGAUUGUUUGCAUUACCAGAUUGCAUAAUAACGAACUGUCUCGACUGACUUGGCGAUCAAGUAGAACGGGUUUCAAAUCAUAGACUCUCUCUACUAAGGGAUUCGCCGAUCGAUAUUGAAUCAAAUGGCUGAGGUCGUUCUACAAGAAUUUGUUAAAAAAAA